UGGGGAAUAUUGCACAAUGGGGGAAACCCUGAUGCAGCGACGCCGCGUGAGCGAAGAAGGUUUUCGAAUCGUAAAGCUCUGUCCUAUGAGAAGAUAAUGACGGUAUCAUAGGAGGAAGCCCCGGCUAAAUACGUGCCAGCAGCCGCGGUAAUACGUAUGGGGCGAGCGUUGUCCGGAAUUAUUGGGCGUAAAGGGUACGUAGGCGGUCUAUUAAGUCAGGUGUGAAAGCGUGAGGCUUAACCUCAUUAAGCACUUGAAACUGAUAGACUUGAGUGAAGGAGAGGAAAGUGGAAUUCCUAGUUUAGCGGUGAAAUGCGUAGAUAUUAGGAGGAAUACCGGUGGCGAAGGCGACUUUCUGGACUUUUACUGACGCUCAGGUACGAAAGCGUGGGGAGCAAACAGG
rnacentral:rRNA from 1 species